rnacentral:rRNA from 1 species
GACGAACGCUGGCGGCGUGCUUAACACAUGCAAGUCGAACGAUGAAGAAAAGAAUCGAAGCUUCGGCAGAAAUUCAUUUCGGAUUAGUGGCAGACGGGUGAGUAACGCGUGAGCAACCUACCUCUUACAAAGAGAUAGCCUCGGGAAACCGGGAUUAAUACCAUAUAACAUUGCGACGAAGCAUUUCGAUGCAAUCAAAGCUACGGCGGUAAGAGAUGGGCUCGCGUCCCAUUAACCGGAUGGUGAGGUAACGGCUCACCAUAGUGACGAUGGGUAACCGGCCUGAGAGGGUGAACGGUCACACUGGAACUGAGACACGGUCCAGACUCCUACGGGAGGCAGCAGUGGGGAAUAUUGCACAAUGGAGGGAACUCUGAUGCAGCGACGCCGCGUGAGUGAUGAAGGAAUUCGUUUCGUAAAACUCUGUUCUAUGGGAAGAAAAGGACUGUACCAUAGGAGAAAGCUCCGGCUAAAUACGUG